UUUCCGUCGGUGAACCUGCGGAAGGAUCAUUACUGAGUGAGGGCCCCUCGGGGUCCAACCUCCCACCCGUGUUUAACGAACCUUGUUGCUUCGGCGGGCCCGCCUCACGGCCGCCGGGGGGCAUCUGCCCCCGGGCCCGCGCCCGCCGAAGCCACCUGUGAACGCUGUCUGAAGUAUGCAGUCUGAGACAAUUAUUAAAUUAAUUAAAACUUUCAACAACGGAUCUCUUGGUUCCG
rnacentral:misc_RNA from 1 species